rnacentral:rRNA from 1 species
ACGCUCGACACCUACGGAGGCAGCAGUGGGGAAUAUUGCACAAUGGGGGAAACCCUGAUGCAGCGACGCCGCGUGAGUGAAGAAGUAUUUCGGUAUGUAAAGCUCUAUCAGCAGGGAAGAAAAUGACGGUACCUGAGUAAGAAGCCCCGGCUAACUACGUGCCAGCAGCCGCGGUAAUCUGAGCGGGCUGGCAAGGC